rnacentral:rRNA from 1 species
GAUGAACGCUGGCGGCGUGCUUAACACAUGCAAGUCGAACGGAAAGGCCCAAGCUUGCUUGGGUACUCGAGUGGCGAACGGGUGAGUAACACGUGGGUGAUCUGCCCUGCACUUCGGGAUAAGCCUGGGAAACUGGGUCUAAUGCCGGAUAGGACCACUUCUUGGAUGUUGUGGUGGAAAGUUUUUUCGGUGUGGGAUGAGCUCGCGGCCUAUCAGCUUGUUGGUGGGGUAAUGGCCUACCAAGGCGUCGACGGGUAGCCGGCCUGAGAGGGUGUACGGCCACAUUGGGACUGAGAUACGGCCCAGACUCCUACGGGAGGCAGCAGUGGGGAAUAUUGCACAAUGGGCGCAAGCCUGAUGCAGCGACGCCGCGUGGGGGAUGACGGCCUUCGGGUUGUAAACUCCUUUCGCUAGGGACGAAGCGUUUUGUGACGGUACCUGGAGAAGAAGCACCGGCUAACUACGUG